UAAUUCUGAGGUAACAUAAGGACUACGACUAGUUCUGCUUUAGUUUAGUGCAUCCGCGUAUGAGAGUAGCGGUGCCAGACGUAAGAGAACAUGAUCGAAGAUUUCUGCCAGUGAGGAACGUAGGAAGCGACUCUGGGUGACUGAGUCCUCGUGUUGGUGAUGCUGUGAAGUGCCUGUGUUGUGGAGGUCCAUGGAAACAAGUGAAUGGCUGUGCUGUGGUUCUGUGAGAAGGAUUACCGUGUCUGAUUCUCUUCCUAAGGUGUUAGAUAGGCUUUAAACGGUGUCCGGCAGUGUCUAAGGAAUAAUAUAUGGAAACAAUAGGAAUAUUGAUCGAACGAGAGAAAUAAUAAUAGAAAUAAUAAGAGGCUUAGUGUGUUGACAGUACGAUGACAUGUUUCCAUCAAGACUUGUGAUCAUUGUGAGAUAAAAAUUAAAUUAACUACAACGAAAAUGGAAACAAGAGAGAAAAGAAAGGUGAAGAAAGUAAGGGAAGAUGAUAAUGAUAACCGAGAUGGACUAAAUGAAUGAUGGAAAGACAGAGAGGAGCGAGAGUUGGGGAAUUUAAGUGAAAAGAGAAAGAAAAAAAUGGUAGGAGGAAGAUAAGAUAGAAAGAAAACGUUAAUGGUUAUGAAAUUAAGAAAUAUACAAGAAUUAAUUACUAAACUAGAUAAGAACAAGAAGACAUAACAUAGAUAAAAACAGCAAUAAAAAAAUACAGCAGACACACGACUGUACCAAUACACACACACACACACAGAGAGAGAGAGAGAGAGAGAGAGAGAGAGAGAGAGAGAGAGAGAGAGAGAGAAAAAAACGUAAGAAAAAAUUGAUUCCCCCUUAUAAACUAACGAGAAAAUCAGAAAAUGGGAAGUAAGAGGAGCCACGUUGAUGUGACACCCUCUUUCCUGAUUAACAUAACAUAACACAACAUAAAUACUAGGAUAACAAAGGGCCACCAGGGCCCAUCCAGGUUAUCCUGUAUCAGUCGCACAGCGACCUCGUUAUCAGUACUGAAAUAUACACUGAUUACUCUUAUCUAGUUCAGUAUAGCAUCGGGGCAGGGUUGUGAAGGGCUGUGACACUGUUCGCCUCGCCUCACCUCAGUAUUGUUCCAAGAGUAAACAAGCCACUGUGGAAUUCCCGCCUCUCCACACCGGAUUAAAAGAGGAGAAGGAGAGGAAGAGGUGGAGGAAGAAGAGGAAGGGGAAGUGAGGGAUAUGACUGGCGUUCUCUUACUCUUCCCCUCUCACCGUUAAAGAAUACCCCCCUUUCUCUCUCUCUCUCUCUCUCUCUCUCUCUCUCUCUCUCUCUCUCUCUCUCUCUCUCUCUCUCUCUCUUCUCCAGUAGCCGCCAUGAAGAACGCGAGAAGCCUCAAGUUAAUGGUGAUCUACCUCUGCCUCCUGGCGUUCGCUAUCCUUCUGGUCGUGUUUCAAAGUCGUCAUGAGUACUUCCUACGCUGGAGGAAUCCCAUCAGGAAUAUCUUUAGGAUGCCCAAGAUGAAAGGAGUGGCGGGUAAAGAGGCAGAGAGAGGAGAGAGACCAAACGUCACGGCGGCGACAGACAGACCGCUCUCCCUCAACAAGACGCAUCCUCCUCUCAAAUACAUCCUAGUGUGGACUGUCGCGUACGGAAACAAGACGAGAGGAUACGCAGAGGGCCAGAGCGCCUUCAAGAAACAACACUGCAAAGUGGACACUUGCUUCCUCACUGGGAAUAGAAAAUUGUUGCCUGUAAAUAAUUUCGACGCCAUUCUAUUCCACCUCCGCUCCAUGAAUCCCACUGAUCUUCCCGCCGUGAGGUCUCCACAUCAGCGGUGGGUGUUCUUUGAGAUGGAGUCCGCCUCCUACGUGUACCAGAACAUCAAUGUGUACAAUGGACUCUUCAACUGGACCAUGACAUACAGACUGGACUCCGAUAUUCAGGAUAGAUACGGCGCCGUGUUACCGGGCCACUCCCCCUCCCCCCCCGCCUCCUCCUCCCCCUACACACCAGAGAGGAACUACGCCAAAGGGAAGACAAAAAUGGCGGCUUGGUUCGUCUCAAAUUGUAAUGCCAAAUCGGGCAGAGACGAUGUGGUGAAGAAAAUGAAGACACUCAUGAAGAUUGACGUGUACGGCGGGUGUGGGAAGCUGAAGUGCACUAAGUGGGGUAAGGAGUGCUACGCCUUACUGGACAAACACUACAAGUUCUAUCUCUCCUUUGAAAACUCUCUCUGCACUGACUAUGUGACGGAGAAGCUGUUCGAGAUUCUCAGCAGGCAUGACGUGGUGCCGGUGGUGUUUGGGCUGGCUAACUACACCUACAUCACUCCUUCGCAUUCGGUUAUCAACGUUCUAGACUUCCCCAAUGUCAAGGCCCUCGUGAAUCACCUCAAAUACCUCGACAAAAACGAUACUGCCUACAACGAGUAUUUUAAGUGGAAGGCGCACUACUACUCCACCAAUAACUGGCCGGGCCUUUGUGAGUUGUGCAGGAAGGUUCACCAAGACAACACUCCCAAGGUUUACCAGAACAUGAAGCAAUGGUUUCAGGGGCAGGGCGGCUGUCGGAGUAUUAACGUCCCUCUACAGUGAUCUUCCCGCCAACGCUAACACUGCGAUAUUCGGCACUGUAACGCACUCCUGAGUUGUGACAGUCCCUUACACGCCCGUCUUGAGAAACGCCUUGCUCUCUCACCACAAUAAUUUUCCAAGGCCACAGAGACCACUAGCAGGUUUUCAAGACAGUUUCCCCUUAUGAUAAACUAGAAAUCUUGUCAGUUCAUCACCAGAAUCAUAAAAAUAUCCCUGAAAAACACGAGUACUUUCAACUAGAGCCUUUGGAAAGUUGUGAUGGUGAGAGAGCAAAGCGCUUCAGAACACAGAUGGUCCUCCGAUAUGCAACAGUGAGUCCCUAAGCAGUGAAAUUUUGUAAUCAUCAAUAGGAGAUGGAAGAAUAGAACGGAUGAGAGUUGUGACAGCCCCUUGUGCUCCGAUAUGCAACAGUGAAAAGCCCCAAAGCAGUGAAGUAUUAGUAGUGAUCAAGAGAAAAUGGAAAAAUAGAAGGGAAAUGAAGUAACAGAAAAUUGACACUGAUCUUUGCUCUUUUUCCAAUAUGCAACAGUGAAAAACUCCAAAAACAGUGAAAUAUUAGUAAUCAUCAAAAGAAAAUGGAAAAAUAGAAGGGAAUGAAGUAAGAGAACACUGAAACUAUCUGAUCUUUGCUCUUUUCCCAGUAUGCAACAGUGAAAAGCUCCAAAAAACAGUGAAACAAUUGGUCAAAGAGCGCUGGCAAUUUCUGACCUUCGCUAUUUCGUUUAUUCGUCAAUGUUCGUAAAGCUUCGUGAAGGUUUCGUAAAAUUCCGCAUUGGUUUCUAACGGUGAAUCUCUCAAAAACUACUUAAAAUCCACGAAAUAUAUAGGGUUUCGUGCAAAAGAAAGUAAUAUUAACAACUGAUGCGAAGAAAGUAGUCAAAUAUUAAUGUAAUUCAAUGUAAUGUUACCUCUCCGUCUUUAUAACACAGAGUAUUGAUAACUAACCUAUUGAUCCAACGUACAAGAAUAACCAGACGUGUACGACGGUUUGAGGUUUUUUUUUUUUUUUUUUUUUUUUUUUACGUAGGGAGGAGGGCCAGCCAAGGGCAAAAAAAUGAAGUAAAAAAAAAAAAAAAAGCCCCACUUGAGUGCUGGCUCUCUAAAAAGUGUAAAAAGUGCAAAAACCGUAAGCCAAAAUAGGGGAUAAAAUGCCUCGAUACCUCCCUCUUAAAAUGACUUCCAAAUCACGCCUUCCUCAAUGUGAUAAUGUCAACAGUUGCCUUGUGGAAGUGUUAAAGAGGCAUUUGUUGUAUCGAGCACGUCAUUCUUUCCGUGUCAAUGAGAGUCUCGUCUUCUGAAAGGCUAGGGUAGGUUAGAUCACCUUAAGUUAAGUUAUUAAAGGCAGGUUAGAAUAGGUUGACUAGAAGUAGGGUUGGUUAGGUUAGGUUUGGUUAUAUUAAGUUGUUCUGAAAGACUAGGGUAGGUUAGGUUAGGGUAGGUUAGAUCAGCUUAAGUUAGGUUGUUAAAGCAGGUUAGAAUAGGUAGUUAGAUUAGAAGAAGGUUAGUUUUGGUUAGGUUAGGUUAGAUUAAGUUGUUCUGAAAGGCUAGGAUAGGUUAGGGUAGGUUAGAUCAGCUUAAGUUAGGUUAUCAAAGCAGGUUAGAUUUGGUUGACUAGAAGUAGGUUGGUUAGGUUAGGUUAGGUUGUUAAAGCAGGUUAUAUUGAGUUGUUAAGUUAGCAGGUUAGUUCAGGUUUGGUAAGGUGAGAUUAAGUGUAGGUUAUUAAAGCAGGUUAGGUUAGGAAUUGUUAGGUUAGAAGCAGGUUAGGUUAGGUUAGAUUAGUUUAGACUGUUAAAGCAGGUUAGGUUGUGUUGAUAGUUGAAGUUCUAAGGUUGUCAGUUUGGGUUAUAUUCGAGUCUCAGGUUAGGUCAGGUUGUCAGUGUGAGGUUAGGUUAGUUUUGUUUAGGUUUCGAUCACAGAGUCACUUGAGUUAGGUAAGGUUAGGUCAUGUCAGGUCAGGCUGUCAAGUUAGGUCAGGUUAGGUUAGGUUUCGAUCAGGGUGUUAGGUUAGUUAGGUUAGGUUAAGUUAGGUUAAGUUAGGUCAGGUCAGGUCAGGUUAGGUUAGGUUAGGUUAGGUUAGGUUAGGUCAUGUUAGAUUAAGCCGUCAGGUUAGGCAUACAUAACAAAUGCUAUUUUUUACCUUGUGACUUUCUACUAAGUUAUAAUAAAUGGAACUACUAUUCAAUACAAUA
rnacentral:misc_RNA from 1 species